ACAGUAUUAGAUUAGAUAUUAUUGGAAUCGCACCCGGCGACUAUAAUGAAACAAGUCGAAUUUUACACUUUUUGAGUUAAUAACGACAUGAAAAUGAUUUUUUUCCGGUUCAUCUACGGCGCAACUCUAAGCAGUAUUUUUUUUUAUAUAUUAUGACGGUACGCGUAAUUGUGUCGAUAAAAAAUCAAGACUGACAUAAUUUCAAUUUAACCAUAAUAAUGUAGUAGGUAUAUUAUUAUAUCACCUAUAUGUAUACCCAAUGAUUUUGUUUUCUGAUCUAAAUUGUGUCGAUAUUUUAUCAUAGUCAAUUAGUGUUGAAUAUUAUCUGCACAUUUACAAUACAAAAUCUUUCAAAAGCGUAUGAAGUUCGACCAGAAAUUUCAAAAUCUAAUAAAGAAGAUUUCAUUGAACUUUGUAGACAAAAUCUGAUACCACCUCUGUACCACGAAUUGUAUAGGUAACUCGCCUAAUUAUUUAUGUAUUAAUUUUUAUUUAGUGUCGUUUACAAUUGUGAUCUAAAUAUUAAGGUUUGACC